rnacentral:rRNA from 1 species
AACGAACGCUGGCGGCAGGCUUAACACAUGCAAGUCGAACGCCCCGCAAGGGGAGUGGCAGACGGGUGAGUAACGCGUGGGAACAUACCCUUUCCUGCGGAAUAGCUCUGGGAAACUGGAAUUAAUACCGCAUACGCCCUACGGGGGAAAGAUUUAUCGGGGAAGGAUUGGCCCGCGUUGGAUUAGCUAGUUGGUGGGGUAAAGGCCUACCAAGGCGACGAUCCAUAGCUGGUCUGAGAGGAUGAUCAGCCACAUUGGGACUGAGACACGGCCCAAACUCCUACGGGAGGCAGCAGUGGGGAAUAUUGGAUAAUGGGCGCAAACCUGAUCCAGCCAUGCCGCGUGAGUGAUGAAGGCCUUAGGGUUGUAAAGCUCUUUCACCGAUGAAGAUAAUGACGGUAGUCGGAGAAGAAGCCCCGGCUAACUUCGUGCCAGCCGCCGCCGUAAGAC